GUGGGUAGUUUGACUGGGGCGGUCUCCUCCUAAAGAGUAACGGAGGAGCACGAAGGUUGGCUAAUCCUGGUCGGACAUCAGGAGGUUAGUGCAAUGGCAUAAGCCAGCUUGACUGCGAGCGUGACGGCGCGAGCAGGUGCGAAAGCAGGUCAUAGUGAUCCGGUGGUUCUGAAUGGAAGGGCCAUCGCUCAACGGAUAAAAGGUACUCCGGGGAUAACAGGCUGAUACCGCCCAAGAGUUCAUAUCGACGGCGGUGUUUGGCACCUCGAUGUCGGCUCAUCACAUCCUGGGGCUGAAGUAGGUCCCAAGGGUAUGGCUGUUCGCCAUUUAAAGUGGUACGCGAGCUGGGUUUAGAACGUCGUGAGACAGUUCGGUCCCUAUCUGCCGUGGGCGCUGGAGAACUGAGGGGGGCUGCUCCUAGUACGAGAGGACCGGAGUGGACGCAUCACUGGUGUUCGGGUUGUCAUGCCAAUGGCACUGCCCGGUAGCUAAAUGCGGAAGAGAUAAGUGCUGAAAGCAUCUAAGCACGAAACUUGCCCCGAGAUGAGUUCUCCCUGACUCCUUGAGAGUCCUGAAGGAACGUUGAAGA
rnacentral:rRNA from 1 species